rnacentral:misc_RNA from 1 species
GUUUGUAUCUGUUGUUGUUGCUGCCGGAGAGGACGUUAUGGUUAUUCUCGAGCUGCUUAUGCACUUUCGCUUAUUUUUCUCUCCGCGUUCACCAUUGCUGCAAUAAUUGGUUCUAUCUUUCUGUAUACUGGACAAGGGAAAUUUCAUGACGGUACAAAAGAUACAUUGGAUUAUGUUGUGCAACAAGCAGGAUCAACGGUUGACAAUUUAAGGAAUGUGUCAAAAAUUCUGGCUGUUGCCAAGCAUACUGGAAUUAGUCAAAUUUUUCUACCUCAAAAUGUUCAAAACAACAUUGACAAGGUUGACACCAAGAUCAGCUCGGCUGCUGAAACUCUUGAAACGGAAACUGAGAAGAACAAGAAGGAUAUUAUGGUUGUCUUAGACUUGGUGAGGCGAAUUCUCAUCAUUGUUGCUGCUGUAAUGCUUGGCUUGGC